GAGUUUGAUCUUGGCUCAGAUUGAACGCUGGCGGCAUGCCUUACACAUGCAAGUCGAACGGCAGCACGGGAGCUUGCUCCUGGUGGCGAGUGGCGAACGGGUGAGUAAUGCAUCGGAACGUAUCCUGGAGUGGGGGAUAACGUAGCGAAAGUUACGCUAAUACCGCAUAUUCUGUGAGCAGGAAAGCGGGGGACCUUCGGGCCUCGCGCUCUUGGAGCGGCCGAUGUCGGAUUAGCUAGUUGGUGAGGUAAAGGCUCACCAAGGCGACGAUCCGUAGCAGGUCUGAGAGGAUGAUCUGCCACACUGGAACUGAGACACGGUCCAGACUCCUACGGGAGGCAGCAGUGGGAAUUUUGGACAAUGGGGGCAACCCUGAUCCAGCCAUGCCGCGUGAGUG
rnacentral:rRNA from 1 species